UUUCCGUAGGUGAACCUGCGGAAGGAUCAUUAUUGUAUAACCGAGGUGCGAGGGCUGUCGCUGACCCGAAAGGUCGUGCACGCCCGAGUGCCCUCACACACAUCCAUCUCACCCCUAUGUGCACCACCGCGUGGGUCCCCCUUUGGCUUGUUCGGAGGGGGGCUUACGUUUUCACACAAACUUUGUAUGCAGUGUAGAAUGAAUUUUUUGUUUUUGCGAUCACGCAAUCAAUACAACUUUCAACAACGGAUCUCUUGGCUCUU
rnacentral:misc_RNA from 1 species